UAGUCCACGCCGUAAACGAUGGACACUAGUUGUUGGAAUUAUUCAGUGACUAAGCGAAAGUAAUAAGUGUCCCACCUGGGGAGUACGAUCGCAAGAUUGAAACUCAAAGGAAUUGACGGGGGCCCGCACAAGCGGUGGAGCAUGUGGUUUAAUUCGAUGAUACGCGAGGAACCUUACCAGGGCUUAAAUGUAGACUGACAGCUUUAGAGAUAGAGUUUUCUUCGGACAGUUUACAAGGUGCUGCAUGGUUGUCGUCAGCUCGUGCCGUGAGGUGUCAGGUUAAGUCCUAUAACGAGCGCAACCCCUAUCGUUAGUUGCUAGCAGGUAAAGCUGAGGACUCUAGCGAGACUGCCGGCGCAAGCCGAGAGGAAGGUGGGGAUGACGUCAAAUCAUCAUGGCCUUUAUGCCCAGGGCUACACACGUGCUACAAUGGACAGGACAAAGGGUCGCCAAACCGCGAGGUGGAGCUAAUCCCAGAAACCUGUUCUCAGUUCGGAUUGAAGUCUGUAA
rnacentral:rRNA from 1 species